AAUUAAACAUAUGAUUUGUAACCAUGAUUUGAGAUCGGUCAGUGUGUCACGACCCAGCGAAGAGGUCACUUCCAAGGCUUGCUCUGGAGAGCAUGUCCACCUCACACUGGUUGGGGUGCGCCCCCUUCAUGUCAGUCCUGAUUUAGUUGGUCGUCCCUUCAGAGCACGUCAGUCAUGAAAUUUAUUUGUUGUGAGUAAAAAUAUCAAAAAUGAUCGAGAUGAUGUAAGGUGAGGUGCGCCCACCGGGUGCACAGUAGUCCUUGGAAGCAUAUUGGAAUUCAGUGCUUGCGGCUUUUUCGAAAACCCUUCGAUUGUUCUGAGGACGGAAAUCGGACGACCGGCUGCCAGUGAAGUUUUGAAAUUGACCUCAACCGCCUCUAAAUCAGAUGUCACCGGCCAACUCUGGACAAUAAAGACUACAAAAACCCCCUACAAAAAAAUCUAAAGAUCGCCAAAAUUCUUCGUUUUGAAAUUAUCCCCUUUAGGCUCUAAAUUUUUCAGAUUAUUUUUUCUCCCUUUCGGCAAUUUGGUUCUAAAUUUUUUUUCCUAAAAAUAAUGCAAAUUCUCGUCUUAUUUUAAAAUUCUUGUUUCGGCUUAUCAAAAUUAUUAGUUUUACUUUUCGGCUUUUUAUGUUUUGGAAAAUAUAUUGUUACUUUUCUUAACAGUAGUGAAUUUUUUAUUUGACUUUAGCUAGUUUAGUUUGUUUUUUAAUAUUAGCCAUGUGUUUUGUCAUCUGUGGUUGGCAAGAACAAAUUUUAUUUCAUUCAAUUCAACUAGGACAGAAAUACAUUUUUUCACUUCAAAAGGUUAUUUCAGGUAAG
rnacentral:lncRNA from 1 species